rnacentral:rRNA from 1 species
ACCUGACUGCUAUCGGAUUGAUACUAAGCCAUGCGAGUCAUUGUAGCAAUACAAGGCAUACGGCUCAGUAACGCGUAGUCAACCUAACCUAUGGACGGGAAUAACCUCGGGAAACUGAGAAUAAUGCCCGAUAGAACAUUAUGCCUGGAAUGGUUUAUGUUCCAAAUGAUUUAUCGCCAUAGGAUGGGACUGCGGCCUAUCAGUUUGUUGGUGAGGUAAUGGCCCACCAAGACUAUUACAGGUACGGGCUCUGAGAGGAGUAGCCCGGAGAUGGGUACUGAGACACGGACCCAGGCCCUAUGGGGCGCAGCAGGCGAGAAAACUUUGCAAUGUGCGAAAGCACGACAAGGUUAAUCCGAGUGAUUUCUGCUAAAGAGAUCUUUUGUUAGUCCUAGAAACACUAACGAAUAAGGGGUGGGCAAGUUCUGGUGUCAGCCGCCGCGGUAAAACCAGCACCUCAAGUGGUCAGGAUGAUUAUUGGGCCUAAAGCAUCCGUAGCCGGCUCUGUAAGUUUUCGGUUAAAUCUGUACGCUUAACGUACAGGCUGCCGGGAAUACUGCAAAGCUAGGGAGUGGGAGAGGUAGACGGUACUCGGUAGGAAGUGGUAAAAUGCUUUGAUCUAUCGAUGACCACCUGUGGCGAAGGCGGUCUACCAGAACACGUCCGACGGUGAGGGAUGAAAGCUGGGGGAGCAAACCGGAUUAGAUACCCGGGUAGUCCCAGCUGUAAACUAUGCAAACUCAGUGAUGCAUUGGCUUGUGGCCAAUGCAGUGCUGCAGGGAAGCCGUUAAGUUUGCCGCCUGGGAAGUGCGUACGCAAGUAUGAAACUUAAAGGAAUUGGCGGGGGAGCACCACNAGGGGUGAAGCCUGCGGUUC